AAUCCAGAAUCCAUUCUUUUCAUCAGAGUUUUGUCUUUUUGAGAAUGAUGAAAGGAUUGGGUCACUUCUGGCCUAG
rnacentral:miRNA from 1 species